CAGCAGCCACGGUAAUACGUAGGGAGCAAGCGUUGUUCGGAUUUACUGGGCGUAAAGGGCGCGUAGGCGGCGCGGUAAGUCACUUGUGAAAUCUCUGAGCUUAACUCAGAACGGCCAGUGAUACUGCUGUGCUAGAGUGCGGAAGAGGCAACCGGAAUUCUUGGUGUAGCGGUGAAAUGCGUAGAUAUCAAGAGAAACACCUGAGGCGAAGGCGGGUUGCUGGGCCGACACCGACGCUGAUGCGCGAAAGCCAGGGGAGCAAACGGGAUUAGAUACCCCUGUAGUCCCUGUCUCUUAUACA
rnacentral:rRNA from 1 species